GGCAGAGAUGAUUGAUGCUAUAUUUCUGACACCUCUUGUAUGAGAAAAGUCUUGCUUUUCGUUGAGCACAUUAAGCACCUCUCUGAGCC
rnacentral:snoRNA from 1 species